UACGUAGGGUGCGAGCGUUAAUCGGAAUUACUGGGCGUAAAGCGUGCGCAGGCGGUUCGUUGUGUCGGCGGUGAAAUCCCCAGGCUCAACUUGGGAACUGCGUCUGAUACUGGAUGGCUUGAAUUCGGGAGAGGGAUGCAGAAUUCCAGGUGUAGCGGUGAAAUGCGUAGAUAUCUGGAGGAAUACCGGUGGCGAAGGCGGCAUCCUGGACCGGCAUUGACGCUGAGGAGCGAAAGCCAGGGGAGCAAACGGG
rnacentral:rRNA from 1 species